CUUCCAUAAGGAAAGGCAUGGGGGAAAGUUCUAUAAGGGAAUUCCAUCAAGAGACGAUGAAGCCCCCACCAGUGGUUAGCACCUAGUGAGCAGCUGUCUGGAAAAGACUUCACCUACUACCUGGAAAUUCCAGAGACACCUCAAUGGAUUGAUGCUUCUAAGAGUAAUAUCCUCUUCUACCAGUCAGAAAUUGUGAAUCACAGCCCCUUUAGCUCUGUUACUAAUCCAGAACUUUAUCUGGCUACAUACUAGAAGGCAGGACUACCAUUGCACGUGGCAAAAGGACUGCCUUCUCUUACUCAAUUCUGAGUGACGGAUGCAUAACAGCACAGACUUUUGAAAUGUUGGAAAUAAAGAGAUUUCUGUGCCAUAAU
rnacentral:lncRNA from 1 species